ACCCACUCUGGAAUUAAGGCGUACAGCUGUGACAUUUGUGGAAAAACUUUCAGCCGGAUAGGGAGCCGAAAUACACACCUACGCAUUCACACCAGACAUGAUGUGUACAGCUGUGAUCAGUGUGGUAAACAGUUUACUACAAACACAGAGUUACGACGUCACAUGUUUACCCACACUGAGGAACGACCUUAUAAAUGUGACCUGUGUGAGAAGACUUUUAAAUCUCCACAUUACCUGAAAGCACACCAACAGAUCCACACCAGAAAGACUCUACAAGUGCAGUUACUGUGAGAAGCAGAGCGACACAGAUGGAUCAAGUUCUCAACCCUGUCAUCGCUGUGGGAAAGACUUUUGUUGUGACCUUUGUGGAAAAACUUUAGGUCAUUGAAGGACUCUGAAAAUACAUCAACGUAGACACACUGGAGACAAAAUGAACUACUGUAAAGAAUGCGGGAGAGGCUUCACCACUUCAAAGGACUUCAAACAAUAUGAACUCCUUCACAGUGGCGUUAAAAAGCAUGUCUGCGAUCAGUGUGGGUCAUCCUUCAUCAGUGCACGUCAGCUUGAAAAGCGUAAACGAGUCCACACAUGAGAGAAACCAUACAAGUGCAGACACUGUGACAAAACCUUUUCACAAUCAUGUGAUCGUACUAAGCAUGAACGCAGACACAUGAAAGAGAACUUCAUCUGUGAAAGAGUUUGAGUAAUCUCAGUUCAUACUCCACUCAGAAACGAUUCCAUGUUACAAAUAAACUGUUACGUCUUGAUUCCUGCUUUUACUUUAAUCUUGUAAACAGUACAUUUGGAUAACGACUGAAACCGGCCCAAUGAAUGAACAAUGGGCUGUGAGGUCAAUUUCUUCAUCAUUAAUAUGCAAAUUCUUAUGAGCAUUGAUCAACAACCACUGGUCAAUGGCCAUGAGUACCAUUCACAGAGUAAA